rnacentral:rRNA from 1 species
UACGAAGGGGGCUAGCGUUGCUCGGAAUCACUGGGCGUAAAGGGUGCGUAGGCGGGUUUUUAAGUCAGAGGUGAAAUCCUGGAGCUCAACUCCAGAACUGCCUUUGAUACUGAAAGUCUUGAGUAUGGGAGAGGUGAGUGGAACUGCGAGUGUAGAGGUGAAAUUCGUAGAUAUUCGCAAGAACACCAGUGGCGAAGGCGGCUCACUGGCCCAUUACUGACGCUGAGGCACGAAAGCUAGGGGAGCAAACAGG